AUGUACUUUUAUGUACAUUCCGGUUCCUGCGCUUCGGCCUCACCCGUCUGACGCCCGCUCGCGACGUUUUUGACA
rnacentral:sRNA from 1 species